rnacentral:tRNA from 1 species
AUUAGUGUAGUUUAAAUCAUAACUAAAACAUAAAAUUGCAAAUUUUAAAAUACAUUCACUAAUAUAUGUAAUUACUC